UUUUGCAAAGAAAAAGCAACCAGCCACACCCUAAAACACAUAAAUUUAAGCAAUUUUCUGCGCGAGUUUAAACUGUAUUUCCCUCCUUCCAUGUUGACAUAUAUGUACAUUGUACAUACAUAUGUAUGCAAAUUAAAGCUGGAUGUUUGCCUCCAGCUUUAAUACCCAAUCAACUAACACAGACCACCCAAAAUGUCCUCCUCCCGAACACAAACACCCGAGCCAGUAGCGCCAUGUACGUGACAUGUGCUUUGGUGAAAUCGAAGCCCAAAAUUGUCAUUUCGAUUAACAAGAAAUCCACUUUCCUCUUACUUUUUCUCCCGCUUCUCUGGGCUGCCCCCAAAUCAAUUUCAGCAUCGCACACACAGACGUCGGCGGAGGCGGCAGGCGGUCGGGGAUCUGGACCCGGAGCAGGAACAUCAGAAGGGGCAGGAACCUCAUCGUCAUCGGCAGCCUCCACGGCCAUCAGCUCCGAUGAGAGCGGCAACCCAUCAUCGGCGACCGCGUUCUCCAGCUUGGCUCAAGUGUCCUCGCUUCUGCCGGAGGCAUCCGCUCUGUCGGCGACAUCGGGACUCGUGGAGCCCUAUCUGGAUGGCUACGCCACUUCCAAUGUGACCACUCAGAUCGGGACACACGCGUAUCUGCCCUGUCGGGUCAAACAGCUGGGCAACAAAUCGGUGUCCUGGAUUCGUCUGCGAGAUGGACACAUCUUGACCGUUGACAGGGCCGUCUUCAUAGCCGACCAGCGAUUCCUGGCCAUCAAGCAGCCGGACAAGUACUGGACUCUGCAGAUCAAGUACGUCCAGGCCCGGGACGCCGGCUCCUACGAGUGCCAGGUCUCCACGGAGCCCAAAGUCAGCGCCCGUGUCCAGCUGCAAGUUGUGGUUCCCCGCACGGAGAUCCUGGGAGAGCCGGACCGCUACGUGAAGGCGGGCAGCAACGUGGUGCUCCGCUGCAUUGUGCGUGGCGCCUUGGAGCCGCCCACGUUCAUCAUGUGGUACCACGGCGCCGAGCAGCUGGCGGCCGACUCCCGGCGCCACCGCACGCAACUGGAUCCCAACCUGCCGGAGGCCUCCGGCGAAGGCCAGAGCACGAUUGGCUCAUUAAUCAUCGAGUCGGCCAAGAAGCGCGAUACUGGCAAUUACACAUGUAGCCCGUCGAAUAGCCCCAGUGCGACCGUAACGCUGAACAUAAUAAAUGGCGAAUCGUCGGCCUCGGCGGUCACAUCCUCGGCAGCCACCACCCGGGCCUACGCUCUCAGCAUCCUGGCGCUCCUGCUCAGCGUCAUCCUCAUCGGAGUGGGCCACCGCACAUGACAUGUCAAUGCCAGCAAGCCAAACUAAAUGGUCUGAAAGCAGCUACUAGACAGUGAGAAGAUGGGAAUCCCAACACUCUGCCAACGUAAAAACAAAUACUGGACUCUGGCCGGUGACCUCGUUGCUGGUCAGGGGAAUCGAAACUUCUUUCGCCAAUAAAUUUGAAAAAUUGAAUAGGCCGUCCCAGGGAUCGGAGAAGUUCUGAAUGAUUUCCAAGGAGUUUAUUCAGCAUUAUCUUUGGCAAACAUAGCACCCACAUAUUCGGACUGCGAUGUAUGUAUGUGGCACAUCGCAAACAUUUGCAUAGCCAAUUUAUGGAACUCUAUUUUAUGUGCUCUUAUCUCACGAACAAGCUCGAAACAUGCGGGAAAAACCAAAAUUCAUAAAGUAAAUAUGGCGUAAGAACAAAAAAUUAUAGCAAAUACACUCAUUGAUCGGAAUGGACGAAAUGGGCGCGUUCAGCAAGCAAAAACAAUUUAAUUGAUAACGAAAGUAAAUUUAUUGAAUUCAGCGGACUGAAUCGCGAACUGUAUAUAACUCUAUUGCGAAAUCGUUCAGCAAAAUGUAAAUUAAUUGAAUAUACAAAUAAUAUAAAUGGCAGAAUCCAACCAGAGACGUAUUCCAAACACUAAUGAAUUGCAUUUAAACGAUACAAAUAAAUACAUAAAAUAAAUAAAUAAACAAAAAAGCGGCAGGCGGCAGGAGACAAAGGCGCAAGGCGGCCAAAGAAAUAAAUAAAACGAAUCAAACGGACAAAAUGUAAACAUUGUGUGCAUCGCCAACCCGCAGGUUCGGCUCGUAUUUAUUUAUCCACUUAACGUCCUUUUUAAUUACACGCACUCCCCCCGAUCCACGGCAAAUCCCAUAAAAAUCGUCUGAAAUGAAUUAAAGUUGUCUCUGCUCCUGAAUUUGUACGUGUACGUGGAAAUUGAGGCUGCAGCGUCAACUUAAUUGCAAUUAGGUGCAGGCCCACUGCCACUCCCACUCCCAAUCAAACAAUGCCCUCAAAGCGGCAUUAAUUAUGUGUGCGAUUGUCCCAAGGCAUCGGCUGUCACACCCUGCGUAUACUUGAUGCGCCCGUCUUUGAGCGCUUAACAAAUUGAUCCCGGGCCAAGUUAACCGCAAGCAGCUGUGAGCCAACGCAAACACGCUCCGCAGACGGGCGAGAAAAAGCCACGGAAAUAAAUUUCUGCGGUCAAUAUUACAGUGGCGGUGGGCAGGAAGGGGUUAAUUGAACGGGGAUUCUUUUCACGGGUGUGGACAAUUAACACAUUCCGGCUUGAAUGCAUCAAAUGCUCGUGGUCUGCGGCUAACCACCUUUGAGCCACCCACCCCCCAGCAGCGCCCAACCCUGACACUUAUGUUCAGCCUUUUAAUUUCCCGCCAAAAAGCCACCAACAGCCGGAUUGGACACCCCCAUUAAACUGAAUGUUGAACAAUGACAGUUUGUUAGACCUAAGCGACGUACAUAUAUGACCAUAGCGAGUACGAUACAAAUCGAAAUCAAAAUACAUUUCUAAGCUCUUAAGUGUUUUUCAUCAACUCGAUUAACGUGUAGACGCCAUUCGUGUAAUUAUCAACACCCGACUAAUUGUAAAUAAAUCGCAUUACACGCUAAAGUCCCAAAUUCGCAAAGGUGUGGGGGCUACUUUUUAAAGACAGACACUCGAACACACACGUGUACUCAUGAUAUAGCAAAGUUUAUUGUUAAGUACCGACUAAUAACGAAAAUACUUACAUACACAUAUACAUAUGUAAACGAAACUAAGAACUAUGUGAACUUUAACUGAGAAAUUUAUUGCAUUACAUACAAUAAAAUAAUAAAAUUGAAUAACUUAAA